AGUAAAGUCAGCUAAUUUAAGCUCUCGGGCCCAUACCCCGAUAAUGUUGGUUAAAAUCCCUCCUUUACUA
rnacentral:tRNA from 3 species